rnacentral:rRNA from 1 species
UACGUAGGUGGCAAGCGUUGUCCGGAAUUAUUGGGCGUAAAGAGCGUGUAGGCGGUCAGGUAGGUCCGUUGUGAAAACUCGAGGCUCAACCUCGAGACGCCGAUGGAAACCAUCUGACUAGAGUCCGGAAGAGGAGAGUGGAAUUCCUGGUGUAGCGGUGAAAUGCGCAGAUAUCAGGAAGAACACCAAUGGCGAAGGCAGCUCUCUGGGACGGUACUGACACUGAGACGCGAAAGCGUGGGGAGCGAACAGG